rnacentral:rRNA from 1 species
AGCUUGCUGGUGUGGAUGAGUGGCGAACGGGUGAGUAAUACGUGAGUAACCUGCCCUUGACUCUGGGAUAAGCCCGGGAAACUGGGUCUAAUACUGGAUGCUACAUGUCACCGCAUGGUGGUGUGUGGAAAGGGUUUACUGGUCUUGGAUGGGCUCACGGCCUAUCAGCUUGUUGGUGAGGUAAUGGCUCACCAAGGCGACGACGGGUAGCCGGCCUGAGAGGGUGACCGGCCACACUGGGACUGAGACACGGCCCAGACUCCUACGGGAGGCAGCAGUGGGGAAUAUUGCACAAUGGGCGAAAGCCUGAUGCAGCGACGCCGCGUGAGGGAUGACGGCCUUCGGGUUGUAAACCUCUUUCAGCAGGGAAGAAGCCACAAGUGACGGUACCUGCAGAAGAAGCGCCGGCUAACUACGUGCCAGCAGCCGCGGUAAUACGUAGGGCGCAAGCGUUGUCCGGAAUUAUUGGGCGUAAAGAGCUCGUAGGCGGUUUGUCGCGUCUGCUGUGAAAGCCCGGGGCUUAACCCCGGGUGUGCAGUGGGUACGGGCAGACUAGAGUGCAGUAGGGGAGACUGGAAUUCCUGGUGUAGCGGUGGAAUGCGCAGAUAUCAGGAGGAACACCGAUGGCGAAGGCAGGUCUCUGGGCUGUUACUGACGCUGAGGAGCGAAAGCAUGGGGAGCGAACAGGAUUAGAUACCCUGGUAGUCCAUGCCGUAAACGUUGGGCACUAGGUGUGGGGGACAUUCCACGUUUUCCGCGCCGUAGCUAACGCAUUAAGUGCCCCGCCUGGGGAGUACGGCCGCAAGGCUAAAACUCAAAGGAAUUGACGGGGGCCCGCACAAGCGGCGGAGCAUGCGGAUUAAUUCGAUGCAACGCGAAGAACCUUACCAAGGCUUGACAUAUA